AAGUCGUAACAAGGUUUCCGUAGGUGAACCUGCAGAAGUAUCAUUAUCAAUGAUAUUCCAUCAUACACCGUGAACUUUGAGGAUGAUUAGAUCUUCCCACUAAAAAAAUAUUAAACACUAUAAUUUUUAAGCAGAGUCAAUUAUGAAAAUAAUUUAGACAACUUUUAGUAACGGAUCUCUAGGUUCUCA
rnacentral:misc_RNA from 1 species